rnacentral:rRNA from 1 species
ACGUAGGUUGCGAGCGUUAUCCGGAUUUACUGGGCGUAAAGGGUGCGUAGGUGGUUUCUUAAGUCAGGAGUGAAAGGCUACGGCUCAACCGUAGUAAGCUCUUGAAACUGGGAAACUUGAGUGCAGGAGAGGAAAGUGGAAUUCCUAGUGUAGCGGUGAAAUGCGUAGAUAUUAGGAGGAACACCAGUAGCGAAGGCGGCUUUCUGGACUGUAACUGACACUGAGGCACGAAAGCGUGGGGAGCAAACAGGAUUAGAUACCCUGGUAGUCCACGCCGUAAACGAUGAGUACUAGGUGUCGGGGGUUACCCCCCUCGGUGCCGCAGCUAACGCAUUAAGUACUCCGCCUGGGGAGUACGGUCGCAAGAUUA